GACCGGAUGGCUUUGUGGUUAGAGUGUCUGCCUCCGGAGCAGGAGGAUGUGGGUUUGACCCCAUCCGGUGA
rnacentral:tRNA from 1 species